CACGUAGGCACCAAGCGUUAUCCGGAUUUAUUGGGCGUAAAGAGCUCGUAGGCGGUUCGGUAAGUCGGGUGUGAAAACUCUGGGCUCAACCCAGAGAGGCCACCCGAUACUGCUGUGACUAGAGUGCGGUAGGGGAGCGGGGAAUUCCUGGUGUAGCGGUGAAAUGCGCAGAUAUCAGGAGGAACACCAAUAGCGAAGGCAGCUCGCUGGGACGUUACUGACACUAAGGCGCGAAAGCGUGGGUAGCGAACAGG
rnacentral:rRNA from 1 species